ACGGGUGAGUAAUGCAUAGGAAUCNGCCCGAUAGUGGGGGAUAACCUGGGGAAACCCAGGCUAAUACCGCAUACGUCCUACGGGAGAAAGGGGGCUUCGGCUCCCGCUAUCGGAUGAGCCUAUGUCGGAUUAGCUAGUUGGUGAGGUAAAGGCUCACCAAGGCAACGAUCCGUAGCUGGUCUGAGAGGAUGAUCAGCCACAUCGGGACUGAGACACGGCCCGAACUCCUACGGGAGGCAGCAGUGGGGAAUAUUGGACAAUGGGGGCAACCCUGAUCCAGCCAUGCCGCGUGUGUGAAGAAGGCCCUCGGGUUGUAAAGCACUUUCAGCGAGGAAGAACGCCUAGCGGUUAAUACCCGCUAGGAAAGACAUCACUCGCAGAAGAAGCACCGGCUAACUCCGUGCCAGCAGCCGCGGUAAUACGGAGGGUGCAAGCGUUAAUCGGAAUUACUGGGCGUAAAGCGCGCGUAGGUGGCUUGAUAAGCCGGUUGUGAAAGCCCCGGGCUCAACCUGGGAACGGCAUCCGGAACUGUCAAGCUAGAGUGCAGGAGAGGAAGGUAGAAUUCCCGGUGUAGCNGNNNNNNGCGUAGAGAUCGGGAGGAAUACCAGUGGCGAAGGCGGCCUUCUGGACUGACACUGACACUGAGGUGCGAAAGCGUGGGUAACGGACAGGAUUAGAUACCCUGGUAGUCCACGCCGU
rnacentral:rRNA from 1 species